rnacentral:rRNA from 1 species
AAGCAGAGGGUGUCGAUGGUGAAGUCGACAGAAAGCCGAAAAUUUGCAAGAACUACAAAGCCUCUAUCACGUAUCCAAGGGAUAGCGCCUCACCGCGAGAUCCCAACCGAAUUGCUUGACGACCAUAGAGCGUUGGAACCACCUGAUCCCAUCCCGAACUCAGUAGUGAAACGACGCAUCGCCGAUGGUAGUGUGGUGCUUCACCAUGUGAGAGUAGGUCAUCGUCAAGC